rnacentral:rRNA from 1 species
UACGUAGGGUGCGAGCGUUGUCCGGAAUUAUUGGGCGUAAAGAGCUCGUAGGCGGCUUGUCGCGUCGGAUGUGAAAGCCCGGGGCUUAACUCCGGGUCUGCAUUCGAUACGGGCAGGCUAGAGUUCGGUAGGGGAGAUCGGAAUUCCUGGUGUAGCGGUGAAAUGCGCAGAUAUCAGGAGGAACACCGGUGGCGAAGGCGGAUCUCUGGGCCGAUACUGACGCUGAGGAGCGAAAGCGUGGGUAGCAAACAGG